GCGGAAGUAGCUCAGUUGGUAGAGCGUCAGCCUUCCAAGCUGAGGGUCGCGGGUUCGAAUCCCGUCUUCCGCUCCA
rnacentral:tRNA from 2 species